AACAGGAUUAGAUACCCUGGUAGUCCAUGCCGUAAACGUUGGGCACUAGGUGUGGGGGACAUUCCACGUUUUCCGCGCCGUAGCUAACGCAUUAAGUGCCCCGCCUGGGGAGUACGGCCGCAAGGCUAAAACUCAAAGGAAUUGACGGGGGCCCGCACAAGCGGCGGAGCAUGCGGAUUAAUUCGAUGCAACGCGAAGAACCUUACCAAGGCUUGACAUGUUCCUGACCGCCGUAGAGAUACGGUUUCCCCUUUGGGGCAGGUUCACAGGUGGUGCAUGGUUGUCGUCAGCUCGUGUCGUGAGAUGUUGGGUUAAGUCCCGCAACGAGCGCAACCCUCGUUCCAUGUUGCCAGCACGUAGUGGUGGGGACUCAUGGGAGACUGCCGGGGUCAACUCGGAGGAAGGUGGGGACGACGUCAAAUCAUCAUGCCCCUUAUGUCUUGGGCUUCACGCAUGCUACAAUGGCCGGUACAAUGGGUUGCGAUACUGUGAGGUGGAGCUAAUCCCAAAAAGCCGGUCUCAGUUCGGAUUGGGGUCUGCAACUCGACCCCAUGAAGUCGGAGUCGCUAGUAAUCGCAGAUCAGCAACGCUGCGGUGAAUACGUUCCCGGGCCUUGUACACACCGCCCGUCAAGUCACGAAAGUUGGUAACACCCGAAGCCGGUGGCCUAACCCUUGUGGGGGGAGCCGUCGAAGGUGGGACUGGCGAUUGGGACUAAGUCGUAACAAGGUAGCC
rnacentral:rRNA from 1 species